UUUGGAAAGGCCAAAGCCCAGGGCCUCUCCCUCUCAUUCAUUCACGAUGAGCGUAAGCCCAAAUUUUGGAAUAAAUCAAUCACGGCUGCUAUUGCCUACUGCCUAUUGCUAAGCAAGGAUCAAUCCCCCAAAUUGGUCUCCUGAGUAUUGUCGAGAAAGCUAAAGUGGGAAAAUGGCAUUCAUGAGGGGAGAGCCUUUGGUGGCCAAGCUGGCUGCGGUCGCCAAGUAUGGGGUUUUGCCUGGAGCUAUGGUGGCGGCUUUAAUAUAUUCUCCACCUCGAUAUGGAUCCUCCUCCAAGGAUGACAAGUCCCCCAAAUAAGACCCUAGUCGUCCCUCUUUCUCUCUUUUGGGCGGCUUUGAUGGUGGAACUGCAUGCAAUUGUUGAUUUGUGCUUUUUUUUUUAUGUGCUUGGACAUGUAAUAAUCCUCAACUCUGGAUCUAGCAGCUGGAUCCCAUGAGUAGGUAGUUUGUGAAUGAAAAUGUUUUAUUAUUUUGACAUGCACAACCUUUUUGAGUUGUAAAUCUUUCUUCUUGGGCUUGCUCAUUAUGAACAUCAUCUGGUUAAUCAA